rnacentral:rRNA from 1 species
CCCUUCGGGGGAAAGAUUUAUCGCCGAUAGAUCGGCCCGCGUCUGAUUAGCUAGUUGGUGAGGUAAUGGCUCACCAAGGCGACGAUCAGUAGCUGGUCUGAGAGGAUGAUCAGCCACAUUGGGACUGAGACACGGCCCAAACUCCUACGGGAGGCAGCAGUGGGGAAUAUUGGACAAUGGGCGCAAGCCUGAUCCAGCCAUGCCGCGUGAGUGAUGAAGGCCUUAGGGUUGUAAAGCUCUUUUGUCCGGGAAGAUAAUGACUGUACCGGAAGAAUAAGCCCCGGCUAACUUCGUGCCAGCAGCCGCGGUAAUACGAAGGGGGCUAGCGUUGCUCGGAAUCACUGGGCGUAAAGGGCGCGUAGGCGGACUCUUAAGUCGGGGGUGAAAGCCCAGGGCUCAACCCUGGAAUUGCCUUCGAUACUGAGAGUCUUGAGUUCGGAAGAGGUUGGUGGAACUGCGAGUGUAGAGGUGAAAUUCGUAGAUAUUCGCAAGAACACCAGUGGCGAAGGCGGCCAACUGGUCCGAUACUGACGCUGAGGCGCGAAAGCGUGGGGAGCAAACAGGAUUAGA